rnacentral:rRNA from 1 species
AACGAACGCUGGCGGCGUGCCUAACACAUGCAAGUCGAACGGGAUUCGGAGCUUGCUCCGAUGAGAGUGGCGCACGGGUGAGUAACGCGUAGAUAAUCUUCCUGAUGAUCUGGGAUAACAGUUCGAAAGGACUGCUAAUACCGGAUAAGCCCACGGAGACCUUGGUCUUUGCGGGAAAAGGGGGGGACCUUCGGGCCUUCCGUCAUCAGGUGAUUCUGCGUACCAUUAGCUAGUUGGUAGGGUAAAGGCCUACCAAGGCGACGAUGGUUAGCUGGUCUGAAAGGAUGAUCAGCUACACUGGAACUGAGACACGGUCCAGACUCCUACGGGAGGCAGCAGUGGGGAAUUUUGCGCAAUGGGGGAAACCCUGACGCAGCAACGCCGCGUGAGUGAUGAAGGCUCUUGGGUCGUAAAGCUCUGACAGAGGGAAAGAAGUGUAUGGUGGUUAAUACCCAUUGUACUUGACGGUACCCUCAAAGGAAGCACCGGCUAACUACGUGCCAGCAGCCGCCGUAAGAC